rnacentral:rRNA from 1 species
AUUGAACGCUGGCGGCAGGCUUAACACAUGCAAGUCGAGCGAGCGGCGGACGGGUGAGUAAUGUCUGGGAAACCGCCUGAUGGAGGGGGAUAACUACGGGAAACGGUAGCUAAUACCGCAUACCAUCAGAUGUGCCCAGAUGGGAUUAGCUAGUGGGUGGGGUAAUGGCGAACCUAGGCGACGAUCCCUAGCUGGGCUGAGAGGAUGACAAGCCACCCUGGAACGGAGACAGGUUCCAGACUCCUACGGGAGGCAUCAGUGGGGAAUAUUGCACAAUGGGGGCAAGCCUGAUGCAGCCAUGCCGCGUGUGUGAAGAAGGCCUUCGGGUUGUAAAGCACUUUCAGCGAGGAGGCGUUACUCGCAGAAGAAGCACCGGCUAACUCCGUGCCAGCAGCCGCGGUAAUAC